GGGUAGCGGAGAAAUUCCAAUCGAACCCGGAGAUAGCUGGUUCUCCCCGAAAUAGUUUUAGGACUAGCCUCAAGUUAGAUACCUGGAGGUAAAGCACUGAAUAGCCUAGCGGCCGAGAGGUUAGCGAAGCUUAUCAAACUCAGAAUGCCAGAGUAUUGAUGCUUGGGAGUCAGACAGUGUCAGAUAAAUGUCAUUGUCAAAAGGGAAACAGCCCAGAUCUACAGCUAAGGUCCCAAAGUCAGGUUAAGUGGAAAACGAUGUGAAGAUACGCAGACAACCAGGAUGUUGGCUCAGAAGCAGCCACUCAUUCAAAGAGUGCGUAAUAGCUCACUGGUCGAGCGUCUUUGCGCGGAGAAUUUAACGGGGCUAAACCUGACACCGAAGCUUAGGCAAUACAGCAAUGUAUUGGGUAGGGGAGCGUUGUAUACGCGGUGAAACAGUAGCGCAAGCGGCUGUGGAGUGUAUAGAAGUGAGAAUGCCGGAAUGAGUAGCGCGAAUGCAGUGAGAAUCUGCAUGGCCGAAAGCCUCAGGUUUCUGGAGGAAGGUUCGUCCGCUCCAGGUUAGUCGGGAGCUAAGGUGAGGCCUAACGGCGUAGCCGAUGCACAGACGGUAGAGAUUCCGUCACCACCAAAAGAGUUAAACACAGGGACACAUUUGAAGUCUCGGAGCCGGGUGUUGGUUCCGGUAGCGAUCGAGGGAAGUUAGUACCGAAGUCCGGGAUGGAAGAUGGCGAGAAAAGCUGUGUGUAUUUCUGCGGUGCCCGUACCGCAAACCGACACAGGUAGGUAGGAAGAAGAUUCUAAGGCCAACGGGAGAAGGGUUGUUAAGGAACUCGGCAAAUUGACCCCGUAACUUCGGGAGAAGGGGUGCUCCAGAGAUGGAGCCGCAGAGAAUCGGCCCAAGCAACUGUUUACCAAAAACACAGGUUUGUGCUAAAUCGAAAGAUGACGUAUACGAGCUGACGCCUGCCCGGUGCUGGAAGGUUAAGAGGAGAUGUGCAAGCAUUGAAUCGAAGCCCCAGUGAACGGCGGCCGUAACUAUAACGGUCCUAAGGUAGCGAAAUUCCUUGUCAGGUAAGUUCUGACCCGCACGAAAGGCGUAAUGAUUUGGGCACUGUCUCAACAGCCCGCCCGGCGAAAUUGUAGUACCGGUGAAGAUGCCGGUUACCCGCGACAAGACGGAAAGACCCCAUGGAGCUUUACUGUAGCCUAAUAUUGGGUUUCGAUGUUGCAUGCACAGGAUAGAUGGGACUCUGGGAAACCAGUGCUUUGGCGCUGGCGGAGAGGCCGUUGGGAUACCAUCCUUGCGAUAUUGGAAUUCUAACCUGCGGCUCUGAAUCGAGUCGGGGGACAUUGUUAGGUGGGCAGUUUGACUGGGGCGGUCGCCUCCUAAAGAGUAACGGAGGCGUUCAAAGGUUCGCUCAGCUUGAACGGAAAUCAAGCAAAAGAGUGCAAACGCAGAAGCGAGCCUAACUGCGAGACUGACGGGUCGAGCAGUAACGAAAGUUGGAGUUAGUGAUCCGGUGGUAUGUGAGUGGAAAUGCCAUCGCUCAACGGAUAAAAGUUACCCUGGGGAUAACAGGCUGAUCUCCCCCAAGAGUCCACAUCGACGGGGAGGUUUGGCACCUCGAUGUCGGCUCAUCGCAUCCUGGGGCUGAAUUCGGUCCCAAGGGUUUGGCUGUUCGCCAAUUAAAGCGGUACGCGAGCUGGGUUCAGAACGUCGUGAGACAGUUCGGUCCCUAUCUGUCGUGGGCGCAGGAUAUUUGAUGGGAGCUGUUCCUAGUACGAGAGGACCGGAGCGGACGUACCUCUGGCGCACCAGUUGUUCUGCCAAGGGCAUAGCUGGGCAACUAUGUACGGAUCGGAUAAACGCUGAAAGCAUCUAAGCGUGAAGCCGACCCAAAGAUAAGAUAUCCCACUGUUUCAAACAGGUAAGAUCCCUUGAAGACUACAAGGUUGAUAGGCACGAUGUGUAAGUGGAGUGAUCCAUUCAGCAAGCGUGUACUAAUAG
rnacentral:rRNA from 1 species